CCUACGGGAGGCAGCAGUGAGGAAUAUUGGUCAAUGGGCGCGAGCCUGAACCAGCCAAGCAGCGUGAAGGAUGACUGCCCUACGGGUUGUAAACUUCUUUUAUAAAGGAAUAAAGUGAGGCACGUGUUCCUUUUUGUAUGUACUUUAUCAUUAAGGAUCGGCUAACUCUGUGCCAGCAGCCGCGGUAAUACGGAGGUUCCGAGCGUUAUCCGGAUUUAUUGGGUUUAAAGGGAGCGUAGAUGGGUUGUUAAGUCAGUUGUGAAAGUUUGCGGCUUAACCGUAAAAUUGCAAUUGAUACUGGCAGCCUUGAGUACAGUUGAGGUAGGCGGAAUUCGUGGUGUAGCGGUGAAAUGCUUAGAUAUCACGAAGAACUCCGAUUGCGAAGGCAGCUUACUAAACUGCCACUGACAUUGAUGCUCGAAAGUGUGGGUAUCAAACAGGAUUAGAUACCCGGGUAGUC
rnacentral:rRNA from 1 species